CAAGAAAUGCAGUCAUCGAGCUUCAAGAAUAGCACAAUCGCCUGGCGGAGAACCCCCUCACACCCCUAUCAUCCAAUAAAUAGCAAAUAUGAUUAGGUAAAGUUCAACUCCCGAUGUGUUGCAAAAAUCUCUUAGUAUAUAUCAAUUCAAAAGUGCCCUUUCACGAAAAUCUGCCCCCUUGCCUUCAUAUCGUUCCGGCGUCCCUGGCCAUCUCCCUCGAUUGAGUACAUACAUACAUACUUACAUACAUGACUUUAUUUAAACAUGGAGAACCAUCAGUACAUAAUUAUGAUAAUUAGCUAUUUACAAAUAAAAACAAUUAAUAUAGGUUAAGGAAUUAAUUAAGGAAGAAGACAAGAUUGAAGGGAAGAAGGAGACAUGGGCGUACCGGAAGGAAAAAAAUAGGGGGGCGGAAAGAAAAUUGCCCGACUUUUCGUAAAAUUGCCCGACUUUUCGUGAUUU